UGAACGCUAGCUACAGGCUUAACACAUGCAAGUCGCGGGGUAACAUCUGGGAGAGCUUGCUCUUCCAGGAUGACGACCGGCGCACGGGUGAGUAACGCGUAUCCAACCUGGCCCAUACCACGGGAUAGCCCGUCGAAAGGCGGAUUAAUACCGUAUGCUGUCAUUAAGAUGCAUAUAUUGAUGACGAAAGGACUGGCGGUAUGGGAUGGGGAUGCGUCUGAUUAGCUUGUUGGCGGGGUAACGGCCCACCAAGGCAACGAUCAGUAGGGGUUCUGAGAGGAAGGUCCCCCACAUUGGAACUGAGACACGGUCCAAACUCCUACGGGAGGCAGCAGUGAGGAAUAUUGGUCAAUGGGCGAGAGCCUGAACCAGCCAAGUAGCGUGCAGGACGACGGCCCUAUGGGUUGUAAACUGCUUUUAUAUGGGGAUAAAGUGAGUUACGUGUAGCUUAUUGCAGGUACCAUAUGAAUAAGGACCGGCUAAUUCCGUG
rnacentral:rRNA from 1 species